GGCUAAGCAAGAAAGAGCGUAUGGCGGAUGCCUAGGCACUAAGAGGCGAAGAAGGACGCAGCGAACGGCGAAACGCGACGGCGAGCAGUAAGCAGGCAACGACCCGUCGAUGUCCGAAUGGGGGAACCCAUCAUUCCGAGAGGGAUGAUAUCGUCUGAUGAAUAAAUAGUCAGACGAGGCGAGACGCAGGGAACUGAAACAUCUCAGUACCUGCAGGAGAAGAAAGUAAGAACGAUUCCGUGAGUAGCGGCGAGCGAAAGCGGAGGAGCCCAAACCAUCGCAAAGAUGGGGUUAUAGGGCUGCCGACAAAGUCGACUUGACAUGAUAGGAGAAGCGCAGGGGAAGGCGCAGCGAAGAGGGUGACACUCCCGUAUCCGAAAUCGUGGAGAGAGGCGAGGCAGUACCUGAGUACGUCGGGGCACGUGAAAUCCUGACGGAAUUAUCGAGGACCAUCUCGAAAGGCUAAAUACUCCUUAGUGACCGAUAGCGAACCAGUACCGUGAGGGAAAGGUGAAAAGAACCCCGGGAGGGGAGUGAAAGAGAACCUGAAACCAUAUGCUUACAAGAAGUCAGAGCCCGUUAAAGGGUGAUGGCGUGCCUUUUGUAGAAUGAGCCGGCGAGUUAUGAUAUGGAGCGAGGUUAAGCGGGAGACGCGGAGCCGAAGCGAAAGCGAGUCUUAAUAGGGCGACAGUUGCAUGUCAUAGACCCGAAACCGGGUGAUCUAGCCAUGAUCAGGUUGAAGUUGGGGUAAAACCCGAUGGAGGACCGAACCGACCCCCGUUGAAACGUUGGCGGAUGAAUUGUGGCUAGGGGUGAAAUUCCAAACGAACCCGGAGAUAGCUGGUUCUCCCCGAAAUAGCUUUAGGGCUAGCGUCGCGCGAAGUCACGUGAAGGUAGAGCACUGAAUAUGUGAUGGCCUCAUCCCGAGGUACUGAGCAUAAUCAAACUCCGAAUGUCACGAGGACAUGCGCGGCAGUCAGACUGCGGGUGAUAAGGUCCGUAGUCAAGAGGGAAACAGCCCAGACCAUCAGCUAAGGUCCCAAAAUAUAUGCUAAGUGGAAAAGGAUGUGGAGAUGUCCAGACAACCAGGAGGUUGGCUCAGAAGCAGCCACCCUUUAAAGAGUGCGUAACAGCUCACUGGUCGAAUGACUCUGCGCCGAAAAUUUACCGGGGCUAAGCAUAAUACCGAAGCUAUGGAUUUAUAGAGAAUAUAAGUGGUAGGGGAGCGUUCCAGUCAGCGAGGAAGCAUGAUCGUAAGGACAUGUGGAGCGGCUGGAAGAGAGAAUGCCGGUGUGAGUAGCGGCACGUGGGUGAGAAUCCCACGCACCGAAGACCCAAGG
rnacentral:ncRNA from 1 species